rnacentral:misc_RNA from 1 species
UACAGAGGGUGCGAGCGUUACUCGGAUUUACUGGGCGUAAAGCGUGCGUAGGCGGCUUUUUAAGUCGGAUGUGAAAUCCCCGAGCUUAACUUGGGAAUUGCAUUCGAUACUGGGAAGCUAGGGUAUGGGAGAGGAUGGUAGAAUUCCAGGUGUAGCGGUGGAAUGCGUAGAGAUCGGGAAGAACAUCGGUGGCGAAGGCGGCCUGCUGGGCUGUUGUUGACGCUGAGGUACGAAAGCAUGGGGAGCAAACAGG